rnacentral:misc_RNA from 1 species
UCCGGUUUAGACCGGCGGUCUCCUUAGAGAUGUCAACUAAGGACAAGGGUUGCGCUCGUUGAGGGACUUAACCCGACAUCUCACGACACGAGCUGACGACAGCCAUGCAACACCUGUCCACGUUUCACCCUUGCGGGCAGAGAAUCCCGCUUUCGCAGGCCUCAUCCGUGGAUUUCAAACCCGGGUAAGGUUCUUCGCGUUGCUUCGAAUUGAACCACAUGCUCCACCGCUUGUGUGAGCCCCCGUCAAUUCCUUUGAGUUUUAGCCUUGCGACCGUACUCCCCAGGCGGGGCACUUAACACAUUUGCUACGGCAGAGAGAAUAUCGACACCCCCUCUACCCAGUGCCCAUCGUUUACAGCUAGGACUAC